GCGGUUGUCGUAUAAUGGCUAUUACCUCUGCCUUCCAAGCAGAUGAUGCGAGUUCGAUUCUCGCUAACCGCUCCA
rnacentral:tRNA from 5 species